GAUGAACGCUGGCGGCGUGCCUAACACAUGCAAGUCGAACGGAGUCCAGCCUUAGAGACCUUCGGGUCAAAGAGGGGAAGACUGAGUGGCGGACGGGUGAGUAACACGUGGGCAACCUGGCUCAUAGAGGGGGAUAACAGAGAGAAAUUUCUGCUAAUACCGCAUAAGCACACACUGCCGCAUGGCAGAGUGUGAAAAGAGAAUCGCUAUGAGAUGGACCCGCGUCUGAUUAGCCAGUUGGCAGGGUAAGAGCCUACCAAAGCGACGAUCAGUAGCCGAUUUGAGAGGAUGAACGGCCACAUUGGGACUGAGACACGGCCCAAACUCCUACGGGAAGCAGCAGUGGGGGAUAUUGCACAAUGGGGGGAACCCUGAUGCAGCGACGCCGCGUGAGUGAAGAAGUAUUUCGGUAUGUAAAGCUCUAUCAGCAGGGAAGAUAAUGACAGUACCUGAAUAAGAAGCCCCGGCUAACUACGUG
rnacentral:rRNA from 1 species